UACGUAGGGGGCGAGCGUUGUCCGGAUUUACUGGGCGUAAAGAGCGUGUAGGCGGCCAGGUAGGUCUGCUGUGAAAACUCGAGGCUCAACCUCGAGACGUCGGCGGAAACCAUCUGGCUAGAGUCCGGAAGAGGAGAGUGGAAUUCCUGGUGUAGCGGUGAAAUGCGCAGAUAUCAGGAAGAACACCCGUGGCGAAGGCGGCUCUCUGGGACGGUACUGACGCUGAGGCGCGAAAGCGUGGGGAGCGAACAGG
rnacentral:rRNA from 1 species